UUACAUGGGAAUGUAAUGAAGGUUAAUAAUGUCACUUUACUCAAACCUAAUUGGGCACAUGUGUGCUGGUAUCGUGGACACCGCUAACCUUGUUCGCCUUUGUUACAGCGCUUUUUCCCGUCGAGGUAGCGGGACUCAUAGUUAUUACUGCGCACUUAUCCUGCUUUUACAGCGGCUUAUAACUUGUGUGGACUGCACGUGUAAUGUAAACCACACGUCUCCUCUCCGUUGUGGCCUCAAUUUCUUUAAUUGUGUCUGCUAGUUGACGUGAUAUUUAUCGGCGUUGUAACGUUACUUCGCAUUGGACUGACGCGUACCACGUGUCCGGAAGUAAACAAGGAGACGCAUUUGCAAACACACGUUUAACGUGAAUGUCGCAAACAAAAUCGUACCGGUGGUACAUUGUCGCUAUUUUACACUCUUGUUGUUUUAUUUGGGGUUAAUAAAGUUGUAGUUCAGUCCGCGAACCAUCCGUGAGAGUGUCUGUGAGGGGAAUGACCUCCUCAUCUCCGACGUGAUGUCGCUAUCGCUUCUCGGCCUUUUGGCUAAGAUCAAGUGUAGUAUCUGUUCUUAUCAGUUUAAUAUCUGAUACGUCCCCUACCCGGGGACCAUAUAUUAAAUUGAUUUUUGGAAUAGGGAGAUGGAAUAGGGGCUUGCUCCGUCCACUCCACGCAUCGACCUGGUAUUGCAGUACCUCCAGGAACGGUGCACCCCCCAAAACUGUACAAUGUAAAAUACCAUGGCAGAAGAGUGCAUAGUGUGCUUGAUCAUAGUUUUCGGUAUCUCAUAAAGCAUCGAGAGAUAAAUCUCGCACCUCUGGAAUUUUGUAAAUAGCGUUUACGCACCUCAAAGUUCCCUGCGCCUUGUAUUCUUCCGUUGGAAUAAUCCGAAAUAAACUUGGUGUAAUUUUAAAACUGUUAAAACUAUGUUUCCUAUUGUUGAACAUAUAAACGCCGUAGUCUGAAUAAUUUUCAUCCGCGCUGUAUUAUGGUCUGACCAUCCAAUCAGUGCCUUGCGGCUGCAGCAGCGAGACAAUCAGGAUCCAGGAGGUAUUUAAACACAUACACGUUGUGGAUUAGCCUGCCUGCCUGUUCGGAAUGUGUAAUAUUCGUGUGCGUGCACUGACAUUUAAUUGUCUAAGUACGACACGUACCAGUGAGUUUCUUUUAGUCGGCGCUGUAUGCGUCCAUCUUUAUUAGUGCAUAUUUACUUCUGCGCAUAAACGCGCACCUUGAUGACCUCAUCACAACAUGACAGACAUUUGAACCGGAAGUAUCCAAGAUACUACAGAAUGGAUUACCGCCGGUAAUUAGCAAUGGAUAUCAGGCGAUAUUUGAAGAGACCAUCGAGUGCUCCCACUCCCACAGAUGCCCGCAAAAGGCCUCAAGUACAAAGUAAGACUUAAGAAGAUCAAUUCACGUUUUUAAACGUUGUUUUGGUUCGCACAACAUCGCAUUAAGACGGGGACAAACGCUAUUAAUAACAUGCUUUCAAAUACGAUGAUGCAGCCAGCCUUCCCGGUCCCAUCUAAAUAGGCCUAAUAAAAUGAGUAAUUAUCCUCAUGCAUAUUGCUGCAGAUUAGGCUAAUUCAUUGAAAAAUUGUCAACAGAUUAUGUGCAAGCCAGUUAGACAUAGCUAAGAGAAAUGCUAAGUGAAAUGUUUUAGUUUAGCUAUAGAAUCUUCAAAUUUCGCGGUCAAAGUCAAAUAUAUUAGUUUUUUACUUUCCUGAUGACAUCCUGUCCUGCUCUCGCAUAGAAAACGUGAGCGGGGAGCAAAGCUGUUGCUUCACUGAAUAGGCCUAUAUGCUUAAUCAAUUAUUUGAAGUCAUGAAAGGUGUAGAGUAGCCUGUAAGCGAAAUACAUUGUAAACAUAGAUUAUUUGAAAACAAGUCAGUUCUCAAUGUGAAAAAAAACAUGCUGUAUAGGCUAUUUAUGAUGACGUACAUGAGUGUUCCUUUAACUUAUGUUGUCAGUGUAAUUGACAGGCUGCUUAACUGGUGUUCUCAGCCCCACAACUCUUAAAUUUAACAUAUUUUUUCAGGCAAUGAUGCAGAGAGCACAGGGAGAGGCGAAACACCAGAUCGAAUAGAGAGAGGAUAAUGGCUGAUGAGAGAACAAAAUCAUGACAGUGGAGAACCAAAGAGUGGAGAAGAGGAAAGGGGAGGAAAUGAAAGAAGACCAACAGAGAAUGAAGAAACAGAGAAAGGGGAGACGGAGAAAGAUGAAAUAGAGGGAGUAAGAGAAGAAACGGGCUGGAGAGUGGAGAAUCUGAAUUAGAAUCUGAAGUAGAGGGAGAUACAGAGGAAGAAGAAUCUGAGACUGAAGACCGAGUGAGAGGAGAAAUAGAGAGCAGAUGCCACCCACAUAUCUGGACAGAUAACAUAAUGCAAUAUAGCCAGGACAGCCUUACAGAGUCUCAACGCUUUGUGUUGCGUUGCUUCGCAUCGCGUUGCAUCGCGUCGAGGUCUGUAUGAUCACAAAAUUCAGAGUUUACCCACCUCUAAUUUUACCACUACAGCACUGGCGAAAAGUGGUCGGUGGUAGGUUCUUCCGGUGGUCGGUGGACGGUUGCACCCUGGACAAACCGACCACUAGAAAUGGGUUAUUUAGCAUGCGCGGUCGAUACAUAUGUCCCUUUAUUUUUUUAGCAUUGGCAUGCGUCGCCAGCGCCCUACGCUGUGAACGGCAGCUCGCCACAACCUCGCCAGCGUCCUAUGAUGUGAACGGCAGGUCACAUGAACCGUCGCCACCUUCCUUCAUGAUGAAAUUGCACUUUUAUGUUCAUGAUGAAUUGAAGAGUAAGGCAAAUAGCAUUAAAUAGUAAAUAUUAGAGCAUGGUUACUGAAUGACAAACAAAAUUUGUUAUAUUUUACAACUGUGCGGAGUCUGUGAGUUUGGGGACCUAUGACUAUAUCCUCUGGAGUCGGGAGUGGGUCAGAUAUGGCAAUGUCCAGGUUUUUCUAAAAUGUUAUAUACACAUUACAAUUUUAAUCAAUGUAACUUCUAAAUUUAAAUAACUGCUGUCUCCCACUGUACUAGACUGCGGAAAGGAUUUUUAUGCCAAGGCUGGUCGGUCACCAGAAUCCUGAGACGGGAAACCACUUCAUCCUUUGAGUGACGAAACUUCACAGCACGUCAACAGAUACAGGCCAGGGUUAACAAACAACAAUAACCUAAUGAUAACGCAUAACUAACAAAUGUGAAGACUAAAGUAACAUUACCAGGAGCAAUCGUUUAUCAGUUUCUGUGGUAAUUUUUAGCAACAUGCAACAAAGUAUAAAUAUCUUCAAUUUGUAAAAAAAAAAUUGUGUUUAUAAAUUAAAAGAAAAGCAAUAUUCACUUCAGUGGAGUAACUUGAAUUGUUAGACAGGCGUGUUUAAAAUCAAUUUAAAAUGUAUUUGCAUAAGGUCAUCACUGGAUGACAUUUCUGUAACAAAAAUACUUUGGCUAAUACAGUUAUCAUUGUGCAUGCGGAAUACAUUCAUUAUUAUAUGGCAGAUUAUGGUAUUCUUCAUUCAUCAUUUCAUCACUGGUCCAAUAGGUACUUGACUUCAAAAAGGAGGAGAUAUGAGUGUAUGACUCUCUGAGGAUCAGCACCACCAUACCGGAUGAGGCCAUGAAUAUUCUGAGGUGAAAAAGUGUAAUACACAAUUGAGACAUGCUAUUAUAAACACCUGAAAUGAAUUUUCACAGUGAUAUCGUUUUUCUUAAAAGAAAUUUUUCAGGGAACAGGGAGGUCUUGCGGAAUGGAAUGUGUGUUUCACAAAACAAUGGAGGCAGAGAGACAACAAUAACUGCGCUAUUUUUGUGUGCUCAGUAAGUCAGCAUGCAAAGUUGUAAAAUUAGCUUUCAACAAUAUUUUUAAAAACACACAAUGUUAAAAAAUAUUGUGUGAUUUUUGUAUUAUAUUAUUUCAAAAAGGCAGCUGAGAAUGAGGUGAAAAACCGAGAUGUCAUCCUCAACCAGUGCCAAACUCUCUCCAAGAUGAUAGCAGGGCUUAGCAUUGAGGUAUACAAGGUAUACAAGGAGACUGGACCACGAAAGACUUCCUUUGUGGGUGUCAUCGAGACCCUGGUACAUAUCUGUAAGUAUACACUUGCAUAGUGUAUAAUUACUUUAUAACACUGGCUUUAGUAAUGGAUGGUUUUAAUUUUUAAAGGGCAAAAGAGAUACUAGAGUCCACUCAGGUGGACAGUAUUUUAACGGAUCAAGAGAUUGAGAGUCUGGAGCAAGAUCUGAUGAAAAGAAACAUUCUGUCAAACAGAAUGUAUCUUUAUAAAAAUAAAGGGUGCGAUCGCAAUUUGGAGGCAUUCUAUGCUGACCACCUGUCAGUUUUCGAUGAUCUUAAGGUUAGAUUUACAUUAGCAUUUUAUUUUAAUAUGUGUACACUGUGAUGAAAAUUGGUGGAUAAUGUCCAAUCCUAUUUUAUUUUAAAGCAAUGGUGUUUCAUAGUAUCCAUAAAAUGCAAAUUCAAAGUCAACCUUGAUAUGAAUAAGUCUUUAAUAAAAUUUCAGACUGCACAACUAGCAGGAAUACUGAAAUACAUUGUGGGUAAAAAAGAGCCUGCAGUGGAUAGCGAUACCUAUAUCAAUCAUGUCAUCCUGCCAGAGGUAAGUUGAAACAAAACAAGUAAUAAUUCAAUAUAUUUUACCCAUGGAUUUAAUUACAUUAUGACAGAAUACAGCAUGACCUUAAAAAUGAACGGCAAAUUUAUUUCAGGUAAACAUUGAGUGGCUGAGGCAGAAAUUCUGCAUAUCCAGAUACGAAGCUGGAUGUAUUCUACUCAGCGUAACCAAGACUUAUGUAUAAGCAAAAUUUACCGCAUUAGUAACUGAGAAAUUAAGAUUGCAGUGACAAUUUAAUCAUUCCAAAGUCGUUCUUCUGUGAUGUUUUGGCAAUUAGCCGUAUGAAGAGGAAUUGUCAAACCUUCAUAAAAGAUGUUUCAGCCUUAUGACAUUUCACAUUAAUACAUUUAUACAUCUUUAUAUUUAAAAAUACAUUUUUAAUUAGAACACCUGCAUAUACAUGAAAAGGCAAGACCAAAAUGAUAGUGUCCAACAAAUAUUGAUUGAAUUAUUCUAACAAAUGUUAUAGAAAUGAUUCCAUAACAUGAGAUGGUCACUUUGAGGUUUCACAAAACAAUUUACAGCAGUAUAAGUUAGAACGCAAGAUACAUAGCAGAAAUUUAAACAAAGUCAAGAACUAAAAUUAAAAUAAGCUGUAAUAGGAUAUAGCCCAAAAUAAUACACAAUAACUAAAUUAUUAAUGUGGCCUAUAAACAGACAUAUAUUGUUUAAACUGUUAUUGCAAAGUGUAUUUAUACUGAAAAGAUUUAGAAGUUCUACAAUAUGCACGUUUUCAACAUUAUACUUAAAUUUAUUAUUAAUGCUGCUAAAGCUUUAAUUAAAAAGGAAAAAAAAUUGAAUGCAUUUUCAAUGAAUGACCGGGUUCACCAUGACUCGUCUGAACCCCUGUGUGGGCAGCAGCCAAUGGAGCAGACCGUGAAAACAACACACAUGGAAGCGGUAAAUUGUUUUUCAAUGUUAAUAUAUUUACAAUAAUUGCUGUUUAUAUUGACAUCCACAGACAUCAUGUUGCUACCAGAUGACUAUAUUGUAGAAGUAAAGAAAUAAAAUAAGAAACUUAUUACGGAAUGAUUUCAAACCAAUACUGUUUUUUUCAAAAUAUUUUUCAUAAUGUUACUAUACAGCUCAGUGUGGAACUGUUGGAGGCCAUUUUUGUCGAGGCAGUUCUGCUUGAUGGGGACAAAAUGAUCGGGUCAUUGGCACUAGUGUCCAAAAGAUGGAAGGCUAUUGUCUCUACUGAAGAGUUUCGGAGGAAAGCCUACUAUCGAUGGCUGAAAAGUAAGUAACCAUGUAGAGUAUCUUGGCUUAUCUACUUUUGUGUUCAUUUUUACUUUUACUUUACUUAUGUGUGUGUGGAGAUGGGGGGGGGGGAUCUUAAAAAUAUUUGAUAGUUGAGACAAGAGUCGUUUCCUUGUUUUACCCACAGACAUAUUAGUUAAUGUUGACAAUCAAAUAUUAAAUUAUGAAUUGAAAUGUAUACACGACCCCUCCUGGCAGGAAAGGGACACUGUGACUGAAGACCCCAUCAAUGAGGUAAAAUGUGGUGGUAUUAGUCUAAUUUAGAACCCGCAUUUUCAUGAGGUCAAAGGGGGAAUACACUGAUAUGGAUCCUUUAUAAGUUGGUGGAAAAUUGUUAAGGAUUGAAUAAGACUGACCUAACGUUCAUAGAUGUAGAUGUAAUCACAGAGAUUGACAGGCCGUGCAUAUGACCAGAACAGACUGACAGGUCGUUCAUUACAUUAGCUGACACUUUUAUCCAAAGCGACUAAGACUAAGUGCAUUUCAAACAUAAGGAUACAAACUCAACAUAAACAUAAAAGUGCGAUUUCAGGUGGCGGCGGUUCAUGUGACCGGCUGUUCGCAGCGUAGGACGCUGGCGAUAAUCAAAGAGGCAGGGCGACGCUAAAACAAUAAAGGGACAUAUGUAUCGACCGCGCAUGCUAAAUAACCCCUUUUUCUAGUGGUCGAGUGAACAGUUUGUCC
ensembl:lncRNA